rnacentral:ncRNA from 2 species
AAUAGCUUUCAGGGCAGGGUGAGAUUCCCGACCGGCGGUAGAGUCCGCGAGCUGCGUUGCAGUUGACUUGGUGAAAUUCCAAGACCGACAGUAAAGUCUGGAUGAAAGAAAGUGAUU